rnacentral:lncRNA from 1 species
AUGACAUCUCAGAGCCUGGCCAUCGGCAUACACCUCCUGCCUCAGUCCGGAGGGCCAAAUGAGGUAAAGGUCAGAACUUCCUUCAACAGCCAUCCAGCUACCUCCCUCUGGACUUCCCGCAUCCGAGUCCUGUUGACAUGGCCAGUGGGUCCAUUUCCCAAGACUCACCAGCGAUGCCAGGGAAGCCAGGGUAGAAAUGGCUGCUUCCGGAAGAUGAGUCACUGUGGGGAUGAGGAAGGUGGCAGCUGGGAACAUGUGAAGAGUCGACUGUGUCUUCAAGCCAGGAAGAGAUCCCUGAUCAGAAACAAACCCUACUGUACCUCGGCAUGGACUUUGCAGCCCCAGAACCAUGAGAAACAAAUUUCCAUUGCUUAAGCCGUUCAGUAUAUGGCAUUUUGUCACAGCAGCCUGAGCAGACGAAAACACCUUUCUCCUGCAUGCUGAAAAUGAGGGAACUGCCCCUUUCCCCCCACUAAUGCCCUAGAAUUCUUUAGUUGAGCUACCAUUUAGUUUUGAUCAGGCAUUGUGGCGUUCAGAUUUAAAGCGUUUCAAAUAAUCUGGGAGCAUCUAUUCAUAAUAGCUCUCAUUUGCUGAGGCUCUGUGUUAAGUCGUGUUUAGUAGGUACAACGUUGCCCAAUCUCCACAAUCACCCAAUGAAGCAGUGCACCCAUUAAACAGACAAGGAAACCGGGCUUCAGCGGGCUGAAGUGAUUUGCCCAGGAUGAUCCAGUGAGGGACAACCAGAGACAAGAUGAGAUUUCAAGGCUGCUGGGUUCAGAGACAAUUCCGCUCUAUUCUGCCUCUCUAGUGCAGAGAAACUGGACGCCAAUUGCAAAUAACUGUGACUUGUUCCCCAAGCAAAUGAAUCCCGAGUGACAGACAGUGGUAUUCCUUACCAAAUGCGUUCUGCUUCAGCCUUCUCUCAAGCUCCUCACCCCCCCACCCCAAACACUUGGGAUGAAUGGAACCCGCCCCUGGACAGCCCCCCCCUUUUUUUGUCUCCCCACCGCCCCCACACUUUUCUGUCAGGCUGCCCCAGAUUUUUCUAAUUCCCUGAAGCUCCUGUUCAGGAUCUGUUUCCCCCUUAUUGACUCAUACAGUACACAGGCUAGUGCUGGUUUCAGGAAUCCAGGGCGGAG